rnacentral:rRNA from 1 species
CCUACGGGUAGCAGCAGUGGGGAAUAUUGGGCAAUGGGCGCAAGCCUGACCCAGCAAAGCCGCGUGAAGGAAGAAGGCUUUCGGGUUGUAAACUUCUUUUGUCAGGGAAGAGUAGAAGACGGUACCUGACGAAUAAGCCACGGCUAACUACGUGCCAGCAGCCGAGGUAAUACGUAGGUGGCAAGCGUUGUCCGGAUUUACUGGGUGUAAAGGGCGUGUAGCCGGGUUGACAAGUCAGAUGUGAAAUCCUGCGGCUUAACUGCAGAACUGCAAUUGAAACUGUUGAUCUUGAGUACAGGAGAGGCAGGCGGAAUUCCUAGUGUAGCGGUGAAAUGCGUAGAUAUUAGGAGGAACACCAGUGGCGAAGGCGGUCUGCUGAACAGCAACUGACGGUGAGGCGCGAAAGUGUGGGGAGCAAACAGGAUUAGAUACCCGAGUAGUC